UACGGAGGAUGCGAGCGUUAUCCGGAUUUAUUGGGUUUAAAGGGUGCGUAGGCGGAUUUUUAAGUCAGCGGUAAAAUGUCCGGGCUCAACCCGGGCCGGCCGUUGAAACUGGCAGUCUUGAGUACAGUAGAGGUGGGCGGAAUUCGUGGUGUAGCGGUGAAAUGCUUAGAUAUCACGAAGAACUCCGAUUGCGAAGGCAGCUCACUGGACUGCAACUGACACUGAGGCUCGAAAGUGUGGGUAUCAAACAGG
rnacentral:rRNA from 1 species